AUUGAACGCUGGCGGAAUGCUUUACACAUGCAAGUCGAACGGUAGAGGGGGCAACCCCUCGAGAGUGGCGAACGGGUGAGUAAUAUAUCGGAACGUCCCCAGUCGUGGGGGAUAACGUAGCGAAAGUUACGCUAAUACCGCAUACGAUCUAAGGAUGAAAGCGGGGGAUCGCAAGACCUCGCGCGAUUGGAGCGGCCGAUAUCAGAUUAGGUAGUUGGUGGGGUAAGGGCUCACCAAGCCAACGAUCUGUAGCUGGUCUGAGAGGACGACCAGCCACACUGGAACUGAGACACGGUCCAGACGCCUACGGGAGGCAGCAGUGGGGAAUUUUUGACAAUGGACGCAAGUCUGAUCCAGCCAUUCCGCGUGCAGGAUGAAGGCCCUCGGGUUGUAAACUGCUUUUGUACGGAACGAAAAGGUCUCUCUUAAUACGGGGGACUCAUGACGGUACCGUAAGAAUAAGCACCGGCUAACUACGUGCCAGCCGCCGCAGUAAUAC
rnacentral:rRNA from 1 species